rnacentral:lncRNA from 1 species
GGCAUAUCUGAAGAAAACCCUGAAGAAAGAUAGUUUUUAUGAAGCUUGGCUCCCCUUGGUGUCCCCUGCCUUCUUGUUUUUACUCCAUACUCUGUGGGUGGCCUUACACCAUGUGACAUAUUGGCCGGGCAGCCCAGAUUGUCUAUCGUCACAUCUGGUGUUGCCUUCUUCAGUGUGACUGUCAGGAUCUCAAGGCCUCACUCGUGUUGUUUCCCUGGCGAAGGAUGUUCCAAAGUGGAGGUGUGAGUCCUUGAACCAAGCUUGCCUUGACAAGUCCAGCCAGUAUAUACAUCGCACAUUUAAUAACCUUCUAUCUUUUGAACAGAGAGCUUCAGGUGGUUAGGUGCUGGGGAUGGCAAAAGUGAUUUCAGGAUGCCCUUCCCAGCUUUGAUGAUCCUCUGUAAAGACCUGGAGUUUAUAUGGGUUGGUAUAUAGAAGAUUUUCAAAACUAAAGUUCCUGGAUGCAAAGAACUUGAAUUUAAAUCAGGAUGCUGGAGAAGAGGAUUCUAUGUUGAUGGACCAGGAAAUAGUCUCAUGAACAGGGUGCUUUGAAAAAGAAAGAAGACGGGCUCUCUCUCUGCCCCCUGCUUCAAUCACUUCCUAUCUGACAUGAGCAGUGGAAGUGCUAUAACCAGCCACGGUGGGGGGGACCAAGAAUGCAGUCCAGCUUCUGAGAGGGGGAGCAGAGCACACCCCAAAGGAUACUUCUCGGCCCAGCAGGAUGAGAGAAGGAUGGGGUGCUGCCAUCGGGAAGAAAGCAGCCCUGGGAAACCGGAGAUGGUCUGCACAGAAGCUGGGGUGCAGCCGAAGAGGACUGAGGAACUCAGCUGUUCAAGAUUCCCCAAAGCAUCAGUGAUGUCACAAUGUGACGCAGCACAAUGGAAGAUAUUUCAGAUGGGGACAGCAAGAGGAAUUUGUAGCUCUUCUCCAAAUAAAUGGUCUGUCCCAAGACUUCAGGAAGGAGGAAUAAGUAUGACGACUGGGGAAAGUUCUCUUUGCAGGCUAAGGUGUGGGAGGAUGUCACUGCCGAGAGCCAGGCUUUUCAGCCUGAGAGAAAUGAGCUGCCGCUGUAGUGCAGAGCAAGCAGGAGAGAGAAGAAAGGGAAACCAAACACCACAGAACAUCUGUCCAAUUCUGCACAG